GAUGAACGCUGGCGGCGUGCCUAAUACAUGCAAGUCGAGCGAACAGACGAGGAGCUUGCUCCUCUGACGUUAGCGGCGGACGGGUGAGUAGCACGUGGAUAACCUACCUAUAAGACUGGGAUAACUUCGGGAAACCGGAGCUAAUACCGGAUAAUAUAUUGAACCGCAUGGUUCAAUAGUGAAAGACGGUUUUGCUGUCACUUAUAGAUGGAUCCGCGCCGCAUUAGCUAGUUGGUAAGGUAACGGCUUACCAAGGCAACGAUGCGUAGCCGACCUGAGAGGGUGAUCGGCCACACGGGAACUGAGACACGGUCCAGACUCCUACGGGAGGCAGCAGUAGGGAAUCUUCCGCAAUGGGCGAAAGCCUGACGGAGCAACGCCGCGUGAGUGAUGAAGGUCUUCGGAUCGUAAAACUCUGUCAUUAGGGAAGAACAAAUGUGUAAGUAACUAUGCACGUCUUGACGGUACCUAAUCAGAAAGCCACGGCUAACUACGUG
rnacentral:rRNA from 1 species